rnacentral:other from 1 species
UACCAACUACGGUGUUUGUUAGCGACCAUCAUAAUCCUUGAGCCUAUUUAUCAAUCUCGGGGACUUUCGUGUAACCUUGGUGUGCAUGCCUGAUUUUCCAGGAAGCCUGAUGGGUUGCCAAUAACCCCACCUGAACUUUUGGUUCAAGGUUGAUAGAAUUGCGACGGCACUGUGGUUGG